UUUUAAACGAUGACAGGGACAGUAGUCUUUACAGAUCACCGCCAGCGAAUCGAGGAUAGUGCAAGCUCGAUGGAAGAAGUAAAGAGGAAGAUCACCCUUGAGUUCUUAAGCUGAAAUGAGGUUAGCCAGUAAGCUUGGGCGUUUUAUUCACGUUACGAAUAGUAAAGCGAGCUUAAUUAUACAAGUAUAUGGAAUAUUAUACUUUUAUUUGCUAAUUUGGGUGGUACCGCGGGAAUACCUUCUCGUCCCUUUC
rfam:Bacillus azotoformans LMG 9581 contig35, whole genome shotgun sequence.